GGAACAUUGGACAAUGGGCGGAAGCCUGAUCCAGCAACGCCGCGUGAGGGAUGACGGCCUUCGGGUUGUAAACCUCUUUCAGUACCGACGAAGCGCAAGUGACGGUAGGUACAGAAGAAGCACCGGCCCACUACGUGCCAGCAGCCGCGGUAAUACGUAGGGUGCGAGCGUUGUCCGGAAUUAUGGGGCGUAAAGGGCUCGUAGGCGGUUUGUCGCGUCGGGAGUGAAAACACCGGGCUUAACUCGGUGCUUGCUUUCGAUACGGGCAGACUAGAGGCAUGCAGGGGAGAACGGAAUUCCUGGUGUAGCGGUGAAAUGCGCAGAUAUCAGGAGGAACACCGGUGGCGAAGGCGGUUCUCUGGGCAUGUCCUGACGCUGAGGAGCGAAAGUGUGGGGAGCGA
rnacentral:rRNA from 1 species